CAAGAACUCAAGAAUGUGUUGGCAGUGUGACCCUGACCACUAACAUAUAAAUAAUCUCAGAAGUGUCUCGUGUCAUCCGAGAUCUAGGACACCUGGAUGUAGUUGGCAAAUAUAACAUAGGACCUAUAAGAGAGCUGUUGACUUCAGGAACUGAUAGGGGAGAUUGUCUAAGGAGAAAUAUGUGAGACUUUAAUGGAAUGCUGGAGAUCUACACUUUGAAUAGUGAAUGGCCUGAGAAAAGGAAGCAUUUCCAGGUGCAACAGAAGGAGGACUUCACAUUUGGAAAGACUGCCUUUCCUGCUGAACUCCAAAGGAUUUCAAAGGAAGACUAUACAUUCUCCUGGAGUUUAUCUCUGUAUUCCAUGGGAGUUGUCUAUAAGAGAGCCUACAAACGUACUGGAUGCAUCUCAUGGCACUACCCUUCUUCACGUCCCAUUCACAUCUUUAUAUACAUAGCUGUGUGUGCAUGUGAGAGUAUGAGAAUUAAUGGUGGGAAUAAAGUAGAAACUCCUUUUCAAAUAACAAGGUAUAAAUAAUUGCUUAUAAUUAUGUAGGAUAAAGAAUGAAAACCAGAUGAUGGAAAGAUGAUAACCAGAAAGAUGGCCUCUAGUAAAAUCAGAAAGGUUAAUAAACAGUUCUACAGGCUAAAUGACAUGGAAAAAGAAGAUAUUUUGUUUAUUUUUUAGUAAAACAUGAUUUUAUUGAGGUAAAAUGCAAAUGUAAGAUUAACAGAUCUUUAUCAUUAAUUAAUCUUACUUAAGGAGGAUGUGGCUUAUAGGUAUUACUGGCACUAUUAAUCACAGAAUCACAGAAUAAGCUGAGUUGCAAGAUACCCAGAAGGGUCCUCAUGUCCAACUCCCAGCUCUGCACAGCACCAUCCCCAAGCAUCACACCAUGUGCCUGAGAGUGUUGUCCAAACACUCCUUGAGCUCUCUCAGGCUGGUGCUGUGACCAGUUCCUUGUGGAGCCUGUUCCAGUUCCCAGCUGCCAUCUGGGUGAAGGAUCUUGUUCUAAUAUCCAACCUAAACCUGUCCUGACAGAACUUCAGGCAAUUCCCUUUGAUCCUGUCACUGGUCACCACAGAGGAAAGAUUGGUGCCUGCCCCUCUGCCUUCCGUAGAUUCUCAGCUGUAGACUUGAGACUAGAGGUCUCCCCUCAGCCUCCUCCUCUCCAGGCUGAACAGACCAAGUGACCUCAGCUGCUCCUCAUACGGCUUCCCCUCGAGGCCCUCCACCAUUUUUGUUGCCUUCCUUUGGAUGCCCUCUAAUAGCUUAAUAAUAUGAUUCUAAUGUUGUGGCACCCAGACCUGCACACAGGGUUUGAGGUGAGGCCGCCGCAGUGCAGAGCAGAGUGGGACAAUCCCCUCUCUUGCCCAGCUGGUGAUGCUGUGCCAGGUGCACCCUAGGACAUGGCUGGCCCUUCAAUGUCACAUUGGGGGCCUGAGAUAAAACCCUUGCCUCCAUUUCUGCCCAGGGAGUCUUAGCCACUCUAAUGCAUCAAUAUUGAAUUAAAUUUAAAGCUAGUUAAGAGAAAGAAAGGUGUGACAAUUUCUGAAUUGGAAAGUGUAUGAAAUAUAAGCAUUCACUACAAAUUGAGAUGUGAGAAAACUUAGGAAAUUAAUAAGUGGUGGAAGACUGAAAAAUAUGCAUCUAUAUUCUGGCUGAUCUAAAUAAAAAGAAAAAUAUUUUUGAAGAAAGAAGCCAGCUCACAGUUUAAGGGCUCAGUGGGAUUUUAUCAUCAGAAAAAUAGGCAGAAACUUUCACAAUUUUAAAUCUUGCUUUUAGCAUCUCAGGCUCCUGAGAAACUUGUCUUCUUUAAUAGCUUUAAAAUGCCUUUGACUUUUAUAGAGUGACGCAAGUAUUAAUCAAAUUAGAACAUCUAACUGUAGCCUUUAUUCAUUUUAUCUCAUCCCAUUCAUCAUAAUCUAUCCAUAUAGAGUCUUCAAAACAAGAAAAAAUGUCCAUGAAAGAAAGUUUCUAGUAAAAACCCUGACAAUCUAAUAGACAUAUCAAAUAUGUUAUUCAUUGAAAGGACUGCAAGCUCAAAUUCAAGUUCUGAGUCAAGAGUGGAUUAUGUCUACUGAGAAUUGUAUUUCUCUCCUCACAUCUGUGUUUCUUGGUGUCCUUACUGUCUUCACUAAUCCUUUGAUUCACAAAGACAGAAAUGUCCUCUAGGGUUCAAGUGAUGUGUGAUUGACUAGAACAUUCCCUGUUCAUCCCAGCAGGGUAUGAUGCAGAACAAGAUAGUCUAGAGUACUGUAAUUGAUUGUUUUAUAAGAGAAGCUUUCCUCUUCCUUUAAAAGAGCAAUAAUAUAAUCAGGGAGAAAAAUUGUGUUGGAGUUCAAACAUUUAGCAUAAUGUUGAGCCCUCGAAACUUUCAAAAUCAUAUUUCAAUGUUCUCAAGGCAGUUAUUUGUAUAGUGAUAUCACUGUCUGAAAAUUAAUUUGAUAAAAAUAAAGCUAUGUGCAUAUUCUACAGCCAUGUGCAAAUUCUAUAUUUGUCAAAAUUCAAAUUCAAGCUCUGUAAAUGAUUUUUGUUAUGCCAUGUAUUCAAACUUUAUACUUUGCUUUUAUCUUUCAUUUUAUUCAUAAUUACACAUAAUUCUCUUCAGUCUACGCUGUGUGUUUUUCACCCCACUACCUUCAGUCUCUCAUAUCUGGAGUUGAUUUUUUUUUUGUUAUUUUUUUCCUUAAGAUGAUUGAAUUAAAUAAAAUACAUUAUUCAUCACCUCAUGACAUGAGGUUUUAUCUCCAGGACCCUGAUGUAAUAAACAAAUUUCUUACUGCUAAUGUCACAUAAGUAAUUUUUCAGUACCCUCACUUCCAGCAAAAGUUUGGGUGUGCAAAUACAUAGCUCCAGCUACAGGAAGAGAAGUAAUUAAUCUGCAAAUCAAAAGAUGGUGCCACACAGAAUUAAAGGCAUUUUAUUCUAACACAUUCUGAAGGUAUCAGUUUAAUUCCUUAGGUGAGAUGCUGAUCUUGUUUUCAGCUACAUUUUUUUUACAAAAUUUUGGCCUUUCUUUUAAGGUUUCUGUGAAAUUUUCCUAAAUUCUUCUCUUGCAGUGAAACAGUUAUGGCUACAACACUGUCAGGGCUAGUAACUAUGGGCUUUAGAUCCAGUUCCAUCAGAAAAGGAGCAAGCCAGACAGACCUGGCAGGCUGGGAAAAAGUGGGAUUAGAGCAACAGACCAAGAGAUAUUUCAGGGGUUGCCAGUGAAUUGUCCCAAAGCAGUGGCAGUGAUGUCUUGUUCUUGGAAAGUGGUUGCUUAGUUUCAUCCUUUAUUUAGUGGAGCUACCUUACUUCUGAAAGAAGCUACAGCACAUAUGACAGCACCAUCAAUGGCACUGAUCCAAGGGCUUUCUUUUCUUUGUUUAGAAAGUGUAGACAACCUGUCACGUGAAGCAAAAUAAAUACCCCAUGAGGCCCCCUGUUUCUAAGUUAAAAGAGAAUUUAAAAUAUUGGAUAAUCAUUGAAACAUUCAAAAUUAUUCAUCUAUAAGGUGAGGAGAAGUAUCUAUAAAUUACUUGUACUAUAGUAUUUUAUUAUAUGUAUUAAAGCACUGACAAAUACUUGUUUAUUACAUUUCAAAUGUGGCAAUUUUUUUCCUUUUUUUUGUAAGGAAUUGCAUGAAUUUGUGGUUAUGCAUUAAUUUACCAGCUGUGUACUAGGGCUCAUGGUCUCUCAUAAAACUUAAACUUUUCUCCACCUUUUUUCUCAAGAACAACUUUUUCUAAUUCUUUUCUAUGAUAACUGGUUAAUAAGCAUUUAGAUCUAUUGUCAGUACAGAGAUGAGAGAAACACAAGUGGCUGAGUUAAAAAUAUUACAUGUAACUGUUUUCUGUGUGUUUUCAGUACUGCAGCUUGUUUGACAGUAGCUCUGUCUGUUCUUUGCAGUUAUUCUACUGGACUUGCUUCUCCUCUUCAAUUUCAUCUUUUUGCUUCUGCUAGCAGCUUGCAAGUGUCUUUCAUAGGCAGUGUUUGCUGUUCAGGUAUGUCCUGCUAUUUACUACUGCUUUGUAUUUAAAUAAUACAAAAUGUAUGUUGAGCACACAAAUAAAGCAAUAAUUUCUUACACCAGGGCAACAACAGCAGUCAUUGUCAAGGAAAGUUUUGGAACAUCACAAGCAGUGGUAAGACUGUGCUAUGAAGUACUGUUAUGGGGUGGUUCAGAUUAAUGAAAAUUAAUCUGUAUGCAAAUGCUUACAGCAAUAAGUCUAAGUGCAAAGUGCAAAUAAACCUGCCAGUCUAAUUAUAAGCUCUUUUUCCUUUGUUCUGUGGCACCCUUACACUUAUAUGGACUGCAAGAUCAUGCAAUUGGGAACCAUAUGAAUGAUGGAACUGGCUUUCACUUUUUGCGUGACUGCCAGGUUUAACAGUGGAUACAACAAUCAGUGGUGUCCCAUAUCUGUGACAACAUCUGCUCAUCUUCUCGGCAGGGCAGGUCUAGUCUCUCUACAUUGCUUUAUUCCACCUACUGGCAGUGCAAAACAUAUGAAUCAGGACCAUCCUCCUCCAGAACUGCAGCAAGGGAGAUCUUGAGCCUGAAGGCAACUUUUGCUUUACGAUAUUGACGUAAUGUUCACCUCCUAUAUAAUGGUUUUCAUAAAAUAGCCGUGCUUUGAGAUCUUCGGCACAUUAUAUGACUAAUGAGGAAAAAGGUAAGAAAAUUUUAGUAAUGAUAUUAAACCUUAAAAAACCAUGACAGAAUUUAGCUCCAUGCUGGCAUUUUAUAACACAUCAAAUGCAUACCUGGAAGUCAGUGAAGUUGCACUGACAGUUGAUUUUGGCUUGGCAUUUUACUACUGAAAGAAGCGAUGAGUGUGUUCACUUCCUUAAACUCUGUAAGGUUAUUGUUAGUCAGUUAAACUUUGAAAUGCUGUAAGAGAUUAUUUAAGCCAAAAUGGAGUGCUCUGCAAGAUUGUAACUGUGCUUUAAACUAAGAAGGUAGGAAACUCUCAGGAGACAGUUCUGUAUCUAUUCUGUUCACUCCAUCAAGUACAGUACUUUAAAUUUUCAAGAUUAACAGUCUUCACUUACAAACUACUGAAGGACAGGAAACUUUUACAGAUUUCAUUUCCAGUGUGUGUGACAGCAUCAAUGCGUUUGUCACUCUCAGCAGUAGUUUCUUCCUGAAACAUUUUGACAGAAUUGGGAAGCAUUAAAAUAAUUUUUACCUCAACAUUAAAAAAGUCUAGUAACAACUUGGUAUUUUUCUACUUUAUUCAAAGUAUGAGUGACAAUAGCUGCAGUACAUUUCCAGGUCACAUGUGCAUUGUCAGUCUGAAAGACAUCACUGGAGUUCUGAGAAAUGCUGAAGGUUAAGGUACGCAGACUUGAUCGUUGUAGGUCAAACUCUGCAUUUGGAUUGUUGCCAUUGAAGUUGUUAGAUGUUCUUGGGAUAAUGGUGUUUUAC
ensembl:lncRNA